CCGACCCAACCCACGCCAGCCCCACUUUGUCGGUUUUACCACUGGGUUCUAGGUGAGAAGGUUUCAUUUGAAGGAAAGCUCCACUGCUUUCAAAUUUUUUGAAGAAUUGUUCUCUUGGACCAACUUAUUUGUCGUAAUCUAUCCUGGGUGUGCCAAGGAAGCCUACGUGUCGGGGACUAACCUGGCCUAACUUGCGUGUGCUGGGCUGACUCCUGAGUCCUGCGCUAUCCUGGGCUCACAGGUGCUCCAAACCCACCCAGGUGUUUUAGGAUAGCAUGUGUCUCUGGGCUAACCUGGGACAACGUGUGUGUCCCGCAUGAAUGUGUGGGGCUGGGCUAGCCUGAGAGCUAGUUCCAGGCUAGGCUGGGCUAAGCUACAUGUUCAGAGAUGGCUUGCAGGUUCUGGGCCACUCUAGGCACCUGUUCCAGGCUAAUUUGCAAGAUCUGGGGGAGCUGCCUCUCUCUGUCCUAGAGACAAGGACCAGGAAGAGAGCUCUGGUCCUAGUGCCCUCUUAGUUCUUCAACGGUGGGGAAGCUGUCCUGUUUUCCUUCUGAUGAGAACAGCCAGUACCAAAGAGCUUGGGGUUCCUUCAGGAGCAAGCACCCGGGACGGCCUCAGGAGUCCGGAGCCAGCCUCCCCCUGAACUCGUGGGGGUGGAGGAGGACACACACCCUUGGAUGCCAGCCAGCUGAGGACAGAAGGAAGUCAGGGACCUCAAGUGAGUCUCAGCUCCACCCCAGCUUCGCCAAGAGCCCCCUCAAGAAAGCCUGGCAUUCGUGCACAGCUCUGUGCCUGGCGGUGUCACCCCCAUCCACCCAUGGUUUUGGCGGAAGGAGGAUCAUCUGUCCAGUUGGCAGGUGAGGAGCCAGGCUGGAAUCGCAGGUGCCCCUAGCUCUGACGCCCGGGCUUCCGAGACUGCGUGUCACCUGUCGAAAUCCCCGUCCAGGAGCCUACCCUCUGUCCUUGCUCCAUCAUCGGUCCCUCCCCAGAGGCACCUUGGCAAGAACUGUCUCCCCCGUUGCUCCUGGCCCCUGGGAACAUCCACUCUGCCCCAG
rnacentral:lncRNA from 1 species